GGCACUGGUAAGGUUUUAACAUUUUAGCAUUGUUCAACGCAUUCUUGAACUUCAAACAUAAUGCGUAUCUAGUAACAGUAUUAUGUUUAACAAUGACAAAUUGAUUUCAAGCUUUUAAAUAUUUAGAGUAGCAUUCAAGUUGCAUUUUAAUAUUACCAAUUAAAUUGCUGUUCAAAGGUCAGGGCCCAAUAAUUUCAUAUUUGUAUUUGAUGUUCAUUGCUUUUUUGCCUGAUAAUUUGUUUAACUUGGGCCCUAAUAAUUUGUUUAUUUUUGUUUUUAGCAGUCAAU
rnacentral:misc_RNA from 1 species